ACAAAUGCCCUGCUUCCAGGAAAAGCCUCUAAGCAUCAGGUAACAUCAAAUCGUACCCCAAACCGACACAGGUGGUCAGGUAGAGAAUACCAAGGCGCUUGAGAGAACUCGGGUGAAGGAACUAGGCAAAAUGGUGCCGUAACUUCGGGAGAAGGCACGCUGACACGUAGGUGAAGUGAUUUACUCAUGGAGCUGAAGUCAGUCGAAGAUACCAGCUGGCUGCAACUGUUUAUUAAAAACACAGCACUGUGCAAACACGAAAGUGGACGUAUACGGUGUGACGCCUGCCCGGUGCCGGAAGGUUAAUUGAUGGGGUCAGCGCAAGCGAAGCUCCUGAUCGAAGCCCCGGUAAACGGCGGCCGUAACUAUAACGGUCCUAAGGUAGCGAAAUUCCUUGUCGGGUAAGUUCCGACCUGCACGAAUGGCGUAAUGAUGGCCAGGCUGUCUCCACCCGAGACUCAGUGAAAUUGAACUCGCUGUGAAGAUGCAGUGUACCCGCGGCAAGACGGAAAGACCCCGUGAACCUUUACUAUAGCUUGACACUGAACAUUGAGCCUUGAUGUGUAGGAUAGGUGGGAGGCUUUGAAGCGUGGACGCCAGUCUGCGUGGAGCCGACCUUGAAAUACCACCCUUUAAUGUUUGAUGUUCUAACGUGGACCCGUGAUCCGGGUUGCGGACAGUGUCUGGUGGGUAGUUUGACUGGGGCGGUCUCCUCCUAAAGAGUAACGGAGGAGCACGAAGGUUGGCUAAUCCUGGUCGGACAUCAGGAGGUUAGUGCAAUGGCAUAAGCCAGCUUGACUGCGAGCGUGACGGCGCGAGCAGGUGCGAAAGCAGGUCAUAGUGAUCCGGUGGUUCUGAAUGGAAGGGCCAUCGCUCAACGGAUAAAAGGUACUCCGGGGAUAACAGGCUGAUACCGCCCAAGAGUUCAUAUCGACGGCGGUGUUUGGCACCUCGAUGUCGGCUCAUCACAUCCUGGGGCUGAAGUAGGUCCCAAGGGUAUGGCUGUUCGCCAUUUAAAGUGGUACGCGAGCUGGGUUUAGAACGUCGUGAGACAGUUCGGUCCCUAUCUGCCGUGGGCGCUGGAGAACUGAGGGGGGCUGCUCCUAGUACGAGAGGACCGGAGUGGACGCAUCACUGGUGUUCGGGUUGUCAUGCCAAUGGCACUGCCCGGUAGCUAAAUGCGGAAGAGAUAAGUGCUGAAAGCAUCUAAGCACGAAACUUGCCCCGAGAUGAGUUCUCCCUGAGACUUUAGGUCUCCUGAAGGAACGUUGAAGACGACGACGUUGAUAGGCCGGGUGUGUAAGCGCAGCGAUGCGUUGAGCUAACCGGUACUAAUGAACCGUGAGGCUUAACC
rnacentral:rRNA from 1 species